CGAGGAGGUAGGGCUUACGCUUGCGUUUGUCUGUUAUAUCUUGGUGGACGAGUCGUCGCGGUUGGGACUGAGGUGCCUACAACGUGCUUUUGAGUGGGUUUGUGUCUCCGUGUGCGCCGUGUGCGGAUAGCUUGCUAUGUAUGUGUGGUUGUGUGUGGAUUGAUGCGGGCUUUAACUUGUUGCCGUUCGGGACGUUGACGAAAUGGAGCGAUCCGACCCGUCUUGAAACACGGACCAAGGAGUCUAACAUGUGUGCAAGUGUUAGGGUGUGGAAACCCCAGCGCGUAAUGAAAGUAAAGGGCAGCGCAAGUUGUCUGAGGUAGGAAACGUUGUGGACUUCGGUCUGCGGCGUGGCACUAUCGACCGAUCAUGAACCUUCGUGGUGAAAGAUUUGAGUUUGAGCACAUAUGUUGGUACCCGAAAGAUGGUGAACUAUGCCUGAGUAGGGUGAAGCCAGGGGAAACUCUGGUGGAAGCUCGUAGCGAUUCUGACGUGCAAAUCGAUCGUCGAACUUGGGUAUAGGGGCGAAAGACUAAUCGAACCAUCUAGUAGCUGGUUCCCUCCGAAAUUUCCCUCAGGAUAGCAGCAACUUAUUUACGAUAGUUUUAUGAGGUAAAGCGAAUGAUUAGAGGAUUCGGGGAAGAAACUUCCUCGACCUAUUCUCAAACUUUAAAUCUGUAAGACCUGCAGGUUUCUUAAU
rnacentral:rRNA from 1 species